rnacentral:rRNA from 1 species
UACGAAGGGGGCUAGCGUUGCUCGGAAUUACUGGGCGUAAAGCGCACGAAGGCGGAUUGUUAAGUCGGGGGUGAAAUCCUGGAGCUCAACUCCAGAACUGCCUUCGAUACUGGCGAUCUCGAGUCCGGGAGAGGUGAGUGGAACUGCGAGUGUAGAGGUGAAAUUCGUAGAUAUUCGCAAGAACACCAGUGGCGAAGGCGGCUCACUGGCCCGGUACUGACGCUGAGGUGCGAAAGCGUGGGGAGCAAACAGG